GACGAACGCUGGCGGCGUGCCUAAUACAUGCAAGUCGAGCGAGACUCUUCGGAGUCUAGCGGCGGACGGGUGAGUAACACGUGGGCAACCUGCCUGUAAGACUGGGAUAACACCGGGAAACCGGUGCUAAUACCGGAUAAUCCUUUUCCUCUCAUGAGGAAAAGCUGAAAGUCGGUUUCGGCUGACACUUACAGAUGGGCCCGCGGCGCAUUAGCCAGUUGGUGAGGUAACGGCUCACCAAGGCGACGAUGCGUAGCCGACCUGAGAGGGUGAUCGGCCACACUGGGACUGAGACACGGCCCAGACUCCUACGGGAGGCAGCAGUAGGGAAUCUUCCACAAUGGACGAAAGUCUGAUGGAGCAACGCCGCGUGAGCGAUGAAGGCCUUCGGGUCGUAAAGCUCUGUUGUUAGGGAAGAACAAGUACCGGAGUAACUGCCGGUACCUUGACGGUACCUAACCAGAAAGCCACGGCUAACUACGUGCCAGCCGCCGCAGUAAUAC
rnacentral:rRNA from 1 species